GAUAGACUCAUGUUGCCUCGGCGGGUGCUCCCGNNGAGGAUACAUCAAAACUCCUGUUUUAACGGUGUUGUCUGAGCUACAAGCAACGAAUCAAAACUUUCAACAACGGAUCUCUUGGUUCUGGCAUCGAUGAAGAACGCAGCGAAAUGCGAUAAGUAGUGUGAAUUGCAGAAUUCAGUGAAUCAUCGAAUCUUUGAACGCACAUUGCGCCCCUUGGUAUCCCGAGGGGCAUGCCUGUUCGAGCGUCAUUUCACCACUCAAGCCUGGCUUGGUGUUGGGCGACGUCCCCUUUGGGGACGCGCCUCGAAACGCUCGGCGGCGUGGCACCAACUUUAAGCGUAGCAUAUUUCUUUCGCUUUGAAAGUCGGGGCCCCGUCUGCAGGGAAGAG
rnacentral:rRNA from 1 species